GUCCACACCGUAAACGUUGGGCGCUAGGUGUGGGACUCAUUCCACGAGUUCCGUGCCGCAGCUAACGCAUUAAGCGCCCCGCCUGGGGAGUACGGCCGCAAGGCUAAAACUCAAAGGAAUUGACGGGGGCCCGCACAAGCGGCGGAGCAUGCGGAUUAAUUCGAUGCAACGCGAAGAACCUUACCUAGGUUUGACAUAUACGAGAAGCCUCUAGAGAUAGAGGUCUCUUUGGACACUUGUAUACAGGUGGUGCAUGGCUGUCGU
rnacentral:rRNA from 1 species